CCCUGGUUAGCUUAGUUCAUAGAGCGCUCCACCUGUAACGCAGAUUGCAGAGGUCCUGGGUUCAAUACCCGGACCAGGGG
rnacentral:tRNA from 1 species